rnacentral:rRNA from 1 species
AUUGAACGCUGGCGGCAGGCCUAACCCAUGCAAGUCGAACGAGUGGCGGACGGGUGAGCAAUGUCUGGGAAACUGCCUGAUGGAGGGGGAUAACUACUGGAAACGGUAGCUAAUACCGCAUACCAUCAGAUGUGCCCAGAGUGGAUUAGCUUUUUGGUGGGGUACAGGCUCACCAAGGCGACGAUCCCUAGCUGGUCUGAGAGGAUGACCAGCAACACUGGGAAGGCGACACGGGCCAGACUCCUACGGGAGGCAGCAGUGGGGAAUAUUGAACAAUGGGCGAAAGCCUGAUGCAGCCAUGCCGCGUGUAUGAAGAAGGCCUUCGGGUUGUAAAGUACUUUCAGCGGGGAGGCGUUACCCGCAGAAGAAGCACCGGCUAACUCCGUGCCAGAAGCCGCGGUAAUAC